AGUGGCCUAGUGAUUCAAACAUCCGCCUGGGAACCCGGGGGAUGCGGGUUCAGAUCCUGGUA
rnacentral:tRNA from 1 species